rnacentral:rRNA from 1 species
AUGGCGGAGACGGUGCUGAGCAUGGCGAGGCCCAUGCUGCGCGCCGCCAUUAGCAAGGCCGCCUCUGCCGCCGCUGAUGAGAUGAGCCUCCUCAUGGGUGUGGGCAAGGAUAUCUGGUUCAUCAAAGACGAAAUAGCGACGAUGCAGGCUUUCCUGGCGGCCGCUGAAUCGAUAAAGGAGAAAGACAUAUUACUCAAGGUGUGGGCAGAGCAAGUAAGGGAUGUCUCGUACAAUAUUGAAGAUUGCCUUGGUGAAUUCAUGGUGCAUGUGGCAAGUCAAAGCUUGUCGAGGAAGCUCAUGAAACUCAAAGAUCGCCAUCGAAUUGCGAUUCAAAUUCGCGAUCUGAAAUCAAGAGUUGAAGAAGUCAGCAAAAGGAAUAUACGCUACAACCUGAUUGAGAAGAACCAACUCAUUAAAGCCAUUGAAGAAAGGGAUUCUUGCAUGGAAGAUAUUCGCAACCAGUCAGCCAUCAACAUUGAUGAAGCUGAACUUGUGGGGUUCUCCAAGCCAAAACAAGAGUUGAUAAAUCUCAUAGAUGUCCAAGCCAUAAAUAGCCCUGCUCAGGUAGUGUGUGUCGUCGGCAUGGGUGGUUUGGGUAAGACUACUCUUACAAUGAAGGUUUAUGAAAAUAUGAAAAGCUAUUCAUGUUGUGCUUGGAUCACUGUCUCUCAGUCAUUUGUCAGGAUGGAGUUCCUCAAAGUUAUGAUCAAAAAACUUUUUGGCAGUGAAGCAUUGACGAAGCAACUUGAAGGGAAUGUAGUGAACGAAGUGAAUCUCGCCAACUAUCUUAGAGAAGAGCUACUUGAGAAGAGGUAUUUUGUUGUUCUUGAUGAUUUGUGGAACAUAGAUGAUUGGAAUUGGAUGAAAAGUGUUGUUUUUCCUAGAAGUAACAACAAAGGAGGCAUGCUUGCCACUAGAGUGGUUGAUGAGUGGGAAAAUAUUUAUAACCAGCUCCCCUCGGAGCUAGAGAGAAACCGGAGCCUUGAAGCAAUGAAGAGGAUGGUUACUCUGAGUUACAACCACUUGCGUUCUCAUCUUAAGUCAUGUUUUCUGUAUUUAAGGUUAUUUCCCGAGGAUUUUGAAAUCAAAAGGAGGCGUCUAGUGGAAAGAUGGAUAGCCGAGGGGUUUAUUAUUGCCAGGAGUGGGGUGAGUGUUGAGGAUGUUGGGAUUAGUUACUUCAAUGACCUAAUCAACCGAAGCUUGAUUCAGCCAUCAAGAGUGAACAUAGAAGGAAUUGUCAAGAGUUGUCGAGUUCAUGAUAUUGUUCAGGAUGUCAUGAUCUCUAUUUCUAGAGAUGAAAUUUUUGCAUGGUCUACAUCAGAUAAUGUAACCGGCAUAGCAGUGGAUAACUUUCGUCAUGUGGCAUACCAAGGAGGUUGGAGCCCAAAUAGAGGCUUGAAUUGGAACCAUGUCCGGUCAUUGACUGUGUUUGGUGAGAGACCAAUGAAGCCGGCCCCUUCACUAUGUUCGCCUGACUUUAGGAUGCUUAGAAUCUUGGAUCUGCAAGAUGCCCAGUUUAUAAUCACACAAAAAGAUAUCAACACUGUAUGGUCAUUACGUCAUUUGAAAUAUGUCAACAUCGGGUUUUCUUAUGAUUGUUCUUCUGAUAUUUACAAGAUCCCAAGAACCAUAGGGAAACUACAAGGCUUACAAACAUUGGACAUAAGAGAUGGUCAUGUUGCAUCCCUACCAACUGAGAUCACUAAACUACAAAGCCUUCGUAGCCUCCGUUGCAGCAAAGAUAGUAUACAUGCUAGUUUAUUCUUACUUUACCCUGCAAACUGGUUCUUGUCCACAUUCUGUAUGCCUAUUCUGUUCACUCCUCCUUUAGUUAGUCUGGAAGAGCGUCGACGCCUAAUGAUGGAUUUUUACAUGGCCUGGACUGGUGGUUUUACCAGCUCUAAUGGUGUGAGGGUGCCCAAAGGGAUCAGCAACCUAAAGGAGUUAGAGAUACUAGAGAUUGUGGAUACUGAACGGACUAGCAGGAAAGCAGUGAAAGAGCUCGGGGAGCUUAUAAAGCUAAGAAAGUUAAGUGUCACAGUAGGGGCAAGCAAGCAGAAGAGCAAAAUACUCUGUACAUCCCUUGAGAAGCUCACUUCCCUCACAUCUCUUUGUCUCCGUGUGGAUGAUGGUAUAUCUGGGAGAAGCAAUGCAUCACUUAAGUGGUUGCAGUCUGUUUCCUCCCCUCCCCCUCUCCUGAGGAAGCUGGCUUUGGAUGGAGAUCUUGAGGAGAUGCCUAUCUGGUUUGGGGAUCUGAUACAUUUGGUGAAGAUUGGCUUAUGGUGUAGCAAUCUGACAGAAGGUGGUGAAAGCAUGAAAACACUGGGCGCACUGCCUAAGCUCAUGCUGCUUGAUCUUGGUUGGAAAUCUUAUGUUGGGGAGAAACUGUUUUUUAGAGCAGAAACAUUCCUAAGUCUCAGGAGACUUGCUAUUUCGGGCCUGACGCAACUGACGGAGUUGACAUUUGAGGUGGGCACCUCGCCCCUAUUGGAAAAGAUAGAAAUCCGUCACUGCAGAUUGUCUUCGGGGAUUACUGGCAUCAAACACCUUCCAAAUCUCAAGGAGAUUUCAUUUUGUUCGUAUGGUAAAGUGGCAAGGCUUGGUGCGCUGCAACGUGAAGUGGAGGCACAUCCCAACCAUCCCGCUCUGCGACUGCAGAGCGACGGGAACCACCACGACCUGGAUGAUGUAGUCCAACGAUCCAAUACUGCAGUACAAGCGGACGAAGCGAUGGAGGGGGAGGAAUCAUCUCUCCAUGCCGACCCAGCAGCAGUUGGAGAGAGCUCCUCAUCGCAGGCGGUGGCUGUGACGACGAGGAGCGACAGCACAACUGAACAUGCUCUUGCUCUUCUGUUGUUGUUUGUUGUAGCAGCCAAGAUUCUGAAGAUGAUUAUUGCUCCUGCAUUUCUGAUGACGGCGACGAUGCUUGAUGAUCGAUCGAUCCUGCUUGUUUCUUUCUUCAGCGACAUUGCAACUGCUCCUACUGCUUCCGGUACAGAUUCUCUGGGACUUGAUGUACCGCCCUGCUCUCGCGGAAUCUCUCCAUCACCACUUGGGCUCAGUUAUAUAUGCCCCUCUUUCUCAACCUGGUCUGGAAGAUGGCAUUAUCAAUCAACUCAUGAAUCAUCAAGAGACGCAACCUGCAUUCUCUGA